rnacentral:tRNA from 1 species
GAGGGUAUAGCUCGGGGGAAGACCGUGUGCUUAGCAUGCACAAGGUCCUGGGUUCAAUCCCCAGUACCUCCA